rnacentral:rRNA from 1 species
UACGUAGGCAGCGAGCGUUGUUCGGAGUUACUGGGCGUAAAGCGUGCGUAGGCGGUGGUCCAAGUCUGGUGUGAAAUCUCCCGGCUCAACUGGGAGGGUGCGCCGGAAACUGGGCCGCUGGAGUAUGGGAGAGGCAAGCGGAAUUCCAGGUGUAGCGGUGAAAUGCGUAGAUAUCUGGAGGAACACCCGUGGUGCAGACGGCUUGCUGGACCAUGACUGACGCUGAGGCACGAAAGCUAGGGGAGCAAACAGG